AGUGAACGCUGGCGGUAGGCCUAACACAUGCAAGUCGAACGGCAGCACAGUAAGAGCUUGCUCUUACGGGUGGCGAGUGGCGGGCGGGUGAGGAAUACAUCGGAAUCUACUUUUUCGUGGGGGAUAACGUAGGGAAACUUACGCUAAUACCGCAUACGACCUACGGGUGAAAGCAGGGGUUCUUCGGACCUUGCGCGAUUGAAUGAGCCGAUGUCGGAUUAGCUAGUUGGCGGGGUAAAGGCCCACCAAGGCGACGAUCCGUAGCUGGUCUGAGAGGAUGAUCAGCCACACUGGAACUGAGACACGGUCCAGACUCCUACGGGAGGCAGCAGUGGGGAAUAUUGGACAAUGGGCGCAAGCCUGAUCCAGCCAUACCGCGUGGGUGAAGAAGGCCUUCGGGUUGUAAAGCCCUUUUGUUGGGAAAGAAAAGCAGCAGGUUAAUACCCCGCUGUUCUGACGGUACCCAAAGAAUAAGCACCGGCUAACUUCGUG
rnacentral:rRNA from 1 species